rnacentral:rRNA from 1 species
UACGUAGGUGGCAAGCGUUGUCCGGAAUUAUUGGGCGUAAAGCGCGCGCAGGUGGUUUCUUAAGUCUGCUGUGAAAGCCCACGGCUCAACCGUGGAGGGUCAUUGGAAACUGGGGAACUUGAGUGCAGAAGAGGAAAGUGGAAUUCCACGUGUAGCGGUGAAAUGCGUAGAGAUGUGGAGGAACACCAGUGGCGAAGGCGACUUUCUGGUCUGUAACUGACGCUGAGGCGCGAAAGCGUGGGGAGCAAACAGG